rnacentral:rRNA from 1 species
CCCUCCAAGCCUAAGUACUCCUUGAUGACCGAUAGUGAACAAGUACCGUGAGGGAAAGAUGAAAAGAACCCCGAUAAGGGGAGUGAAAUAGAACUUGAAACCAUGCACUUACAAUCGGUGGAAGCGUUAUUGUAAAGCGUGACCACGUACCUUUUGCAUUAUGAGCCAUCGAGUUACGAUGUGUAGCAAGGUUAAGCCUUUAGGUGUAGCCGUAGGGAAACCGAGUCUGAAUAGGGCGAUUAGUUGCAUGUCGUAGACCCGAAACGGGAUGAGCUUACCAUGGGCAGGUUGAAGCGAGGGUAAAACCUCGUGGAGGACCGAACCCGUUAAGGUUGAAAACUUUUGGGAUGACCUGUGGUAAGGGGUGAAAGGCCAAUCAAAUUCCGUGAUAGCUGGUUCUCUCCGAAAUGCAUUUAGGUGCAGCGUCUAAUGAAUACCGUCGGGGGUAUAGCACUGAAUUGGCUAGGGGGCUUACCGGCUUACCAAACCAUAUCAAACUCAGAAUACCGACGAGUACUGUUAGGCAGUGAGACUGCGGAUGCUAAGGUCCGUAGUCGAAAGGGAAAGAGCCCAGACCAUCAGCUAAGGUCCCUAAAUCGUGUCUAAGUGGCGAAGGUUGUGGAACUACUUUGACAUCCAGGAGGUUGGCUUAGAAGCAGCCACCCUUUAAAGAAAGCGUAAUAGCUCACUGGACUAGUGGUUCUGCGCCGAAAAUGUAACGGGGCUUAAGAUACGUACCGAAGCUAUGGACUUUUUAAAGUGGUAGGAGAGCAUUGUGUUUACCGAUGAAGGUGUACCGCGAGGAGCACUGGAGGUCCCACAAGAGCUGAUGAUGGCAUGAGUAGCGAUAAGGAAUGUGAGAAUCAUUCCCGCCGAAAAUCUAAGGGUUCCUGGGCCAGGUGACUCCGCCCAGGGUUAGUCGGAUCCUAAGGUGAGGCCGAAAGGCGUAAUCGAUGGAUAACAGGUUAAUAUUCCUGUACUUAGUAUGUCUCGCUUGACUUGAUGGAGUGACGGAGAAAGGUAGCAAAGCCACCUGUUGGAUGGUGGUUUAAGCACGUAGGGGGACUGGAUAGGUAAAUCCGUCUGGUUGUUAACCCUGAGAUGCGAAUACGAGGCGUAAGCCGAAGUUUGUGAUCCUCUGCUUCCCAGAAAAACUUCGCAAGGAGAGAUAUAUUAAUCCGUACCGUAAACCGACACAGGUAGAUGAGGAGAGAAUCCUCAGGCGCUUGGGAGAACUCUAGUUAAGGAACUCUGCAAAUUGGAGCCGUAACUUCGGGAUAAGGCUCGCCCUUGUUGGUGAUAUCACUUGCUGAUAAAGCUGAUGGGGGCCGCAGUGAAAAGGGGGUAGCGACUGUUUAUCAAAAACAUAGGUCUAUGC